CGAGUUUGAGAGAGCUAGGAGAACUAACUGUGUUGUGUUAUGUUACUUGCUUUUAGUCCCACAUCGCUUGCAUUGUUUAUUUGUAUUUUGUUUAUAUAGCACAGUCACUCACCCUAAGCUUGUCCCUUCGGGGACAUCCGAUAAAAUUGGAACGAUACAGAGAAGAUUAGCAUGGCCCCUGCGCAAGGAUGACACGCACAAAUCGAGAAAUGGUCCAAAUUUUUUUGUCAUUUUCUUCCCCGAAAUUAUUAGGGUUUCUACGUUCCUCUUCUCUCUGAUUUUUUUUGCGUUUACGUUUUGUUCGUUUUUUCUUUGAUUUUGCGUUUAGGUUUAGGGUUUUGUUCGAUUUCUCUUUGAUUGUGCGUUGAGGUUUUGUUCGUUUUCUCUUUGAUUUUGCGUUUAGGGUUUUGUUUUUCUUUCAAAGCAGUUAUGGGUUGUUCAUCACGAUUUUGAAAUUGGGGGUGUCUCCUACUGAUUUUCAACCAUGUAUUAUUAUUAUUAUGUAUAGUUGAAUUUUGGUUAUUUUUCUUGACUUAAAUUACUUUCAUUUCGCUCAUCUGUCUAAUCAAAUGCUUCACCAUAUAGAUAAACAUCAUACCUUUCAAUUGAAUUCUGUGAUUGUGAAAACAUCAAAUUCACCAUAUAGAUUAUAACAUCAUAGCUUUCAAUUCAAUUCUGUCAUAGCAAAAACAUCAAAUUCACCAUAUAGAUUAUAACAUCAUAGCUUUCAAUUCAAUUCUGUCAUAGCAAAAACAUCAAAUAAUAGAUUGCCAAUUUGUGUUUCUAUCUCAUUCAUUCAUUCCUAUACACAAUUUUCACCCAUUUUCCCAUUCAAAGGGAAAACGAAAAAAUAUUUACAACAUGCCUGCCUAUAUUCUACCAAAUGUCAAUACUAAUCUAUGUUAGUCUUUUUCAGUUGCAGAUUUAUAGACCAUUCAAGCAACUAGUAACAUCCAAGAAAACGUGUUCCGUGCAAGGAAUUGUGAGCCCACCCAUUUGAUGAUCAUAUCCGAAUUCUUCCUCUGCUUCACUCAACAAGUUUAGGAAUUGUGAGCCCACCCAUUUGAUGAUCAUAUCCGAAUUCUUCCUCUGCUUCACUCAACAAGUUUAGAAAUGAUGGUUGGUUCAAGUAUGACGUGGGAAUCACAAACCGCUUCUUUUCCUCACCAACGUACACCGCAAGACAUCCCUUUGGCACUUUUGAUGAUGUUUGGCCAUUGCUAAAUGAUGCCCGUCUCAUAGCUGCAGGUAAACGGAAACCCAUCUCAAAUCUUUCAAAUAACAAGCUAAAGCUUUCAAAUUUAUCUUAUUUUUUAUGCUUGACUAUGUGAAUCGGCUCUGAUGGUUGGUUGUGAAGGAAGAUAGUGUAUUUAUAGUCUUCAAGAGUUUCUUCAAAUCCAUUUCUUUGAUAAACUAUUCUUGUUAAAGGAUGGGGUCCUUAAGAUGAGGGGUCACCACAUGCUAUUGUCUUGGACGGUCAAGGCCCCACCUUCUCAAUGAAAGCCCAGUACAUAGAUAGCCCAAUUCAGAGUCAAAUGAGAUGGCCGGUAGAUAAACUUAAUGCUUUGAUUUAUUAUCUUAUUUUUCUAGACACGCGUUAGACAUCUCACAUGUUUUCUUCAUAUUGAUAACACCCACUCAGUGCCGACAAAUAAAUUCUGCUGUUGUAUGAAUUCUAAUGUAUAUAGAUAAUGCUUAGUUGGGUUCAAAUCAAUCCAUCAUAAUUGUAGGGAGGCAACAGGGAACUUUCAUCAUUGGCUUGGUCAACAGUCCAAAUAUAUUAGUAGUACUUGUUUGACUUUGAACCCACAAGUAGCAGACAUACUUGGAUGGAUAUUUUUUAAGUUCAACAGUCUUAAGCUUCGCAGCCAAACUAUCUUUUAACUGUCAGUCAAACUAGUCAAAGCUCUCCUCCAUUUAAAACUUAUAAACAUACAUAUGUAGGCAAGAGGUGAUGGUGUAGCUCGGAUGACUUUCUAGCUUUAACAACUGUGAUGACUAUAUGACUCUUAACUAACAUCCAAUUUUACGAACAGUUGAGGUGAAUUCGAAGUAAAGGGUUGCCGCCGCCGUUGGUUAUAGGAUAACAACUAUGACCUCACCAAUCCAUAGGAAGAGCGCCGGUAGUUCAUUAUGCGUUAAUUAUAGGCCAUUUAAGCGAGAAGCUGUAAAAACAUAUCUUUUUCGUCGCAAGGAAUCAUAUGUAGACCUUCCGUUAGAUGACAGUAAUUGCACUUUCACAAUGGGGUCAAUCUCAAAAUACCCAUCAUGUUCACUCUUCUACUGAUGAACUAAAUGUAGGGAGGUUGUGAUAAUCUUUUGAUUAACACAAUACAAAUAUAGUACACUUUUUCGGACAACAACUUCGGCGACAAGUCCAUGUGAAGAGCACGAGAAGUCUUUGUGAUUGCGGUCCUUACCACCUUCUUCAAGCAUCACUAGAAAGUGCAACAUAUUAUGUGAUCAGUUAUUGGGAAUCGUCAGACCGCCCAUUGGAUGACGGUAACCAAAUUCCUCUUCAGCUUGACUAAGCAAUUCUUGAAAUAAAGGCUCGUUUAAAAAUGAUAUUGGAAUCAAGAACCUCCUCGCCUUCUCUCCAACAUACACUACAAGAUAGCCUUUUGGGACUUCCCCUUCUUUGCUAGAUGAUUGGCUUGCACUAAAUGAUGAUCGUCUAAUACCAGCCUUUCUCUGGACAAGCUAUUGCUAUAAUAUGAGGUCAGAGGAAUGCAGGCAUGCUGAAAACAUGAGAAUCAUGUCAAUGCACUGGCUUAAAAAUUAGAAGAGCAAUGAACUGAGCAUAAGUUGCAGGACAGUUAAAUGUUUGUUUUGUCUGUUCCGUGGCCUUGGAAUAUAAAGUCAAUGAUCCUAAGAAGUUGUUUGAUUACAACAACUCUGAUUAAGGUAAGCUAAGCUAAAGCCUUGUACUCGGUUUCAGCUGAUGGUUCAGCCAAACUUUGAAUUAUGUUAUUUAUAUUGAUUUGAAAUUCAUGUUUAACUGCCAUUUUGUGCAUAGAUUAUGGCUGAACACUGAGAACUUGCAAUAAAAGACUUCUCAUAAUUGGUUUAAUAAGUGGUAAGCCUGAACUCUAUUAUUGAUGGGCUUAGCUUCUAUUUUAGGUUAUAAUUAAUUGUGUCUAAUUACUAAUAUUAAUUAUUAUAUGCUCUGUUCAGACUCUGUUUAGUCAUGGAAUUAGCUCCUGAAACAUGUGAACUGCGUUUUUUAUAGUCUAGUCACUCUUUACUUAGUAUAUUUAUGAUUUAAGAGAGGAUAUUGAAUGUAGGGAGAUUGUGAUAAUCUUUUGAUUAGUAAAUAAAUAAUACAAACUUUUAUGUAUAGUGGAGGGUUGCUAGGAACUUAGAGUAAAGGGUUGCCACUAAUUGAAUGCUUCUGACAACAACUUCGAUGCUAACUCCAUGUGAAAAGCAUAGAAAUUCCCUGUGUUUGUGGAUUGCAUCACCUUCUUUAAACAUCACAACAAAAUGCAACAUACAAAUACAAAUUCAUCGGUGACUAAGAUGUUGUUUAGUUUUGUGGACUCAUGUAUGGCCUCGUAAUAUAUACCAGUUUAGCAUUACCAUAUCUAUUAUUAGUAUAUAAUAGACAGUAUCUAUUAAAUUGAGGCAUGGCUUGUGUUUCUGCAUGCAAUGCAAGUAUUUAAGAUGAUGUAAAAAACAAUUGAUAAAUUCAAAAGAAUAAGAAUAUAGUUUGAUUAGAUUCUCAUUUCAUAUUUCCACUUCGGAGGAAACAUCAAAAUUGACAAAAAAGUUCCUAAUGUACAAAAAAUGUCUUAACAAGUCAAUCUACGCUGCUCUAUGCUAACUUUCAUAUGAUAUUUGUUGCCGUAUGAAUUAAUCAUAAUUGGUUGUUCAAGCGAGAAGUUGUAUGUAAGAAGACAUCUUCCUUGCAUGGAAUUGUAAGACCGCCCUUUGGAUGACAAUAACCGAAUUCCUCUUCAGCUUGGCUAAGCAAUUCUUGAAAUAAUGGCUCGUUCAAGAAUGAUACCGGAAUCAAGAACCUCCUUGCUUUCUCUCCAACAUAAACUGUGAGAUAUCCUUUUGGGACUUCCAUUUCUUUGCUAGAUGAUGAUCGUCUAAUACCAGGUAAGCGAAAACCCAUUCUGGUUUUGUUUUUUUACAAUAGAAUGAUUUCAAAGUAGUAGAAGAAAGAGGUGAACUUGUAUUCUGAUGCUUCAAGGAAUGAAUGGUUUGUGUUGCUUGUACACCCAAUGCUGGAUAUAUAUUUAGACUUUGAAAACCAAUUGUAUGGUGAAUGAGUUAUUGAAUGGAUGUUAGUGGGAGCCAUGGCUCAUUAAUGAUCACAUGGUACUGUCUUGAAGGCUUUCAUAGAGGACUGUACGAAAUGUGUGAUCAAAUACCCCACACCUUUUGGAAAAUUAGUCUAUGAAAGAGACCAGAGAUAACAUACUUAAUAUAUUUCAGACAAGCUCUAAACACAUCAAGUAUAUUGUUCUUGUUUUUGUACGACAAAAGGUAUCUACAAGUACUUGAUGAUAUAUCCAACCAACAAAUCAUGCAUUUUUCUUGGAAGCUGCCGCAACUUUGAAUGGACAGGCUACUGCUACAUUGUUGAUCUAAACGUAAAAUGUGGCUGAUAUAUCAAUUGGAUAAGUGACAUGGAUCAAAACAUGACAUUUGGUUCCACAAUUGAGCCAAACAUAUAUUAAAACAGUAAAAGUAAAAACGUCUUUCUUAAGUUUAUGUUUAAGAGUUUAGGAGGAGAGAAGAGGGUUUUGAAAAAAAGAAAGGAUGUUAUGGAAGGAACGGAAGACUUUGGGAGGGUUUUAGAGGGCUUAUAUAAAUUCUUAAAAUUCAGUCUAUAUUAUAAAACUCUCAAAAUUCGAAACAUAUUAAUCAUACAUUAAGGAUAAUUUCCUUUUGAGUUAAAAGCAUACUAGUAAGUCCUUAUCCGUAACAAACAGGAAAAAAUAUUAUGAAUCAUAAAUACAACUCUACUUGUUUCCCUUGAAUUCAUUGCUCAACAUUUUAAAACAGGUUCAUCAAUAAAGUUCUGCUAACAUACUAUUCUUAUAAGCUGAAAUAAUCAGUCUACCUUAUGAUAAAAUAUCUUGGCAGCCAGCAGGGCAAUGUUGCUAGACUUUUCUUCGGAAGAAUGCAGUUAUUGAAAAUGAAAAUAUAUAGGACUGUUGACAUUAAUAAUUCAAUUUUCAGAAUACAGUUUUCUGCUACUUGUGGAUUCAAAUCUGUACUACUAUCUUCUGGUUAGGAUGACUUCCGACCAACCAAUCCCUUGAUACAGGUUCCUUUGUUGCCUCCUAACAUACAUGAUUUGUAGCCACUAAUUGGCUUAAAAGUCAUCCUUAAGAUGAUUUUUGCUACUAUGUGUCGACAUUGAGCCGUGUUACCAAUAUGAAGAGAACAUGGCACAUAUCUACAAAUACUUGAGUGGCCAUAAGUUAAGCACUAAUUUGAACCUUCCUAUCUCAUUUGACAUCCAAGUGAGUGAUCUACUAAAGAUGUGGUGUAUAUAUGCACUCUUAUUGAACUUACUGGUCCUUGAUAGAGACAUCAAAAAGAGAUAUCAUGUGAUCUCUCAUCUCAUGGACCCCGUCAUUUAGCAACCACUUCUCAACAAAAUAGAUUCCAAGAAACUCUUUGAGACUAUAAAUACACUACCUUCCUUCACAACUAUCAAAACUCAUUCACAUACUCAACCAUCAAAAGCUAGUUACGUUUUUCUUAUAUUUGAGAGCUUUACCAGUUCUUUGAAUCAUUUGAAACGGGCUUUCAUUUACCGGCUGUUAUCAGAUGUGCUUCAUUAAGCAGAAGCCGAACAUCGUCAAAGGUACUGAAUAUGC